GGAGCCUCCAUAAUCCACGAGCACCUGAUAAGGUUCGCGCUGGAGAACGAAGUGGCCGACCAGAUCGUCAACAGCAUAUGUCUCUGUCGAGUGUACGAGCGGCCUUUUGUUAAAGAAUUCGCAAUGGAGAGGUUGUGCAAGCUUCUUGAUAAUUUUAAGACGGCUUCCUCAAUAACGUUUAAGGUGGAGAUGGUUCCGGAGGAGGGCGCGGGCCCGCGGGCCGGCGCCGCGUGGAGUGAGGC
rnacentral:misc_RNA from 1 species